rnacentral:misc_RNA from 1 species
AAGUCGUAACAAGGUUUCCGUAGGUGAACCUGCGGAAGGAUCAUUACCGUUGGAGCUUGCUCCAUCUGGGAUAGAACCCUUGAUUUUGAGUACCUUUUCGUUUCCUCGGCGGGUCCGCCCGCCGGUGGACAACCAAAACUCUUUGUAAUAGCAGUAUCUUCUGAAAUAAACAAAUAGUCAAAACUUUCAACAACGGAUCUCUUGGUUCUG